rnacentral:rRNA from 1 species
CACGUGGGGUGCGAGCGUUGUCCGGAAUUAUUGGGCGUAAAGGGUGCGUAGGUGGCGCCGUAAGUCGGGUGUGAAAUUUCGGAGCUUAACUCCGAAACUGCAUUCGAUACUGCGGUGCUUGAGGACUGGAGAGGAGACUGGAAUUCAUGGUGUAGCAGUGAAAUGCGUAGAGAUCAUGAGGAAGACCAGUGGCGAAGGCGGGUCUCUGGACAGUUCCUGACACUGAGGCACGAAGGCCAGGGGAGCAAACGGG